rnacentral:lncRNA from 1 species
CACCAUUUCAGUGGCAUUUAAAUCCCCGGCGCUCCUCCAUCUAGGUGACGCGCAGUCGCCCCCCCAGGCAGCGCAGUCGGCGGCAGCAGCUGCGGCGGCUGCAAAGGCAGAUUCAGAGCGCUGGG